GAAGGCAUAUAUUCGCUUACGGUCAAACGAGCAGCGGAAUACCCGAUGACUGUAAUUACCGAGUAUAGCAUGAUGGACAUCUAUCACUAUAUAGAGAAGCACCCUAAAAGAGAAUUCAUGCUAAAAUUUUCGGCAAUAGAGAUAUACAAUGAAGCUGUGAGAGAUCUUCUGAGCCAUGAUACGACAUUUCUUAGACUGCUUGAUGAUCCGGAGAAAGGGGCUACUGUCAAAAAACUCAUCGAGGAAACACUGAAGGACAAGGACCAUCUUAAGGAUCCAUCUUCUUUCUUUUUGUUACUUGCCUAAUUAAGAUUGAGGAAACAACUUUGAAUGAAGCGAGUUCUAGGUCCCAUCAAAUACUCAGGCUGGUUGGUGCCCCUAUUGUACUAUAUGUUAAUUCCAGACAAUCGAAAGUUCAAUUGGAUAGUAUUUCGGAAGAGGCAAAUCAAGCACUCUUGUGUCUUGUGUGGUAUGGAAUUUCUUUCUCUAUUCAUGAUUUUUUUUCUUCUUUUGUUGGUAUAUAUUCAUGAUUGUUUGGUAUAACAUGUUCCAUGGUCACUAAGGUUCUUCUGGACAGAAUUCUGUUGACCUAGCAGGAAGUGAGCGUGCAUCUUAGACUGCUUCAGCUGGCAUGAGGUUGAAAGAAGGUAGUCAUAUUAAUUCAAGUCUGCUAACAAUGGGAAAGGUUGUUCGCCAACUUAGGUAUGUUUCCUCGCAAGAGCUUGUAGUGCCAGUGGUUUGCUUAUUUAUAAAUGUAUUCGGGUAUUUUGCACCUACAGUUCCUCUUUCUUUGGUAGUAUUCACUAGGUAAAAUAAUUCUGAAUUCCAUAUGGUGUUACAGUUCGACACUUCUCCUUUAAGCCCAUUUGCAUGCUCUUCUGCCAAUGGCCAUAGUUUUACCGUAUAACGUAAUCUGAAGUAUUAUGUUCCUUCUGCGGCAAGGGAAGAAGUGGUCAUAUCCCUUACAGAGAUUCAAAGCUGACACGCAUAUUACACUCCUCUUUGGGAGGGAAUGUAAGAACAACCAUUGUCUGGACAAUCAGCCCUGCACACUCAUAUUGAGCAAUCCAGGAAUACACUUCUUUUUGCUACUUGCGCGAAGGAGGUAGUUACAAAUGCAAAGGUAAAUGUAGUCAUGUCUGACAAGGCAGUACUGAAACACAUCUACAGAGAGAGCAUGCAAGAUUAGAUAAUGAACUGAAAGUGCAGGCUGCACAAGUCAUGCUGAAGCUUUGAGAGAGAAGGAUGCACAAAUUAAAAAGGUAAUUUCCAUCACCUAAAAUUUCGCUGCUCACCAAAGAUCAAUUCAACGGUGACAGGUUUCUCGAUUUUUUUGGAAAAUAUAUGCAUCUAAUUCAGUCUAUUCAGUGGUGACACCAUGAGAACUUUCUUCAAUUCAAUCACAUUGGGCGACCGCAGGAAAUCCGCGGAACUGCAGAAAUUAAAAGGUGGUUUUGACUGUCAUUUGGGUGACUUUCCUGCAGAUGUUCUAUCAAAUUCUUGUAGAACCCAGCAUGAGUACAUGGGUGAAAAUCAGGUCUACUAUUUUUCAGUGGGAAUUUACCAUGAAAGCAGAAGGUACUGCAUGUGUUAUGAGAGUGUCAAGCAAGGGUGUAUUUCUGAAUAUUUGCUUUCCUUCAUAAUUCACCAAGGGGGAUAUCUCUUUAUUUUAUUCUUAAAUAUUAUGUACGAGAGAUUGAGUGAAGGAAUUGGCUUCCAGGGACCAAUAACUACACUGAGAUUCUGGCACUCCUUACGGCAUAGAAACAUUCAGAUUAGACAGUUGUUUAGCUAUUGGUACCCAGUCACUCUUGUUCCCAUAUUACUCUUUUCGUGGAUGUUUCUCAUUUUGAACUUUCUCUUUUCUCUUAUUUCUGUGUUGGCCUUAAGUCAGCUCCAGGAGAGAAACAAGACAGUAUAAAGCCAUUUGGAUUGGUCUAC